rnacentral:rRNA from 1 species
GACGAACGCUGGCGGCGUGCCUAAUACAUGCAAGUAGAACGCAGUUACUAACGGGUGAGUAACGCGUAGGUAACUGCCUCAUAGCGGGGGAUAACUAUUGGAAACGAUAGCUAAUACCCCAUACUGUGAGAUGUACCUGCGUGUUAUUAGCUAGUUGGUGAGGUGAAGGCUCACCAAGGCGACGAUACAUAGCCGACCUGAGAGGGUGGUCGGGCACACUGGGAAUGGGACACGGCCCAGAAUACUACGGGAGGGAGCAGUAGGGAAACUUCGGAAAAUGACGGAAGUCUGACCGAGCAACGCCGCGGGAGUGAAGAAGGUUUUCUGAUCGGAAAGCCCUGUUGUGAGAGAAGCGUUAACUAAACAGAAAGGGACGGCUAACUACGUGCCAGCAGCCGCGGUAAUUC